UUAAGUGCGUUUUGUUGUCUAGAAUAUUGUGUUUACGUCAUCCUUAGUUCCCGCAAGAGAGAGAGAGCUUCGUUUGUUGGCUGGGUAGCUGGUUUUGUGUUUCCCCCUUGUAAGGGGUGUUAGGCUUUGGGCUGUGGAAAAGUGUGGAGUUGUGCAGUAACUAUUGUUGUUGAGGUGUAGGGAGUUGAGGUUACGUUGGGCGCCGAGAUGGAGUGUGAGUGUGAAGGCUGGGGAUACGGGACCAUCAUAUUAUACCCUACUUAAGCGACUUCUCCGCCACCCAGACAUCAAUGCAGAGACAUGCCGCAAAAGGUUCCACCGAGUCAAACCACGGCAGAAUGACUUCCGUGGGUAUGUGACCGAAUUGAGGACCGCACUGGACAACUGGUGUAAAAUGGCUGAGGUCGGUAAGAUGGUAGAUGAGAUCAAAGAUCUCCUUAUCAAAAACAGAAUCCUUGAAAGUGUAUCAAGUGAGGUGUACAGGCAGCUUGUCUUGAACAAACAGUACGGUAGAGAACAUGCUCUAGGUAAUCGAAGGUUUUAAGGUGUCAGGGAGAGGUAUGGCGAGAAUGAAUGUUAGUUUGAUAUUUUGGUGUGAUUGUUAUAUCCUCUUGUUAUGAUUGCGAAGUGUUGCACGUGUUGUGAACUGAGUGAUUAAGUCUUCGUUGAAUGUGCGAGAGAAUGUGUUAGUCA
rnacentral:sRNA from 1 species